AAUAUAAAAGACAGUUAAUGCAAACACACCCAUUUGUACUCUUCUAUUCCCUCACCCAAUGAGAAUCGAUAAGAGAAUCGAUAAGGAAUCGGAUCGAUAAGCAAUAUCGAUAAUGGAAUCAGAAUCGUUAAAUUGUUAACGAUUCCCAUCCCUAACCCCAGUUCAGACCG